CGAUACGUUUUCUAGGGUUCCGCGGUCAGGAGGCUGGCCGGACUGGACCGAGAGAAAACGCACGGCUGCGGCCGUGUACACGGAGGGAUAAAAGCCCGGGAGAA
rnacentral:sRNA from 2 species